GACGAACGCUGGCGGCGUGCCUAAUACAUGCAAGUUGAGCGCUGAAGGUUGGUACUUGUACCAACUGGAUGAGCAGCGAACGGGUGAGUAACGCGUGGGGAAUCUGCCUUUGAGCGGGGGACAACAUUUGGAAACGAAUGCCAAUACCGCAUAAAAACUUUAAACAAAAGUUUUAAGUUUGAAAGAUGCAAUUGCAUCACUCAAAGAUGAUCCCGCGUUGUAUUAGCUAGUUGGUGAGGUAAAGGCUCACCAAGGCGAUGAUACAUAGCCGACCUGAGAGGGUGAUCGGCCACAUUGGGACUGAGACACGGCCCAAACUCCUACGGGAGGCAGCAGUAGGGAAUCUUCGGCAAUGGACGAAAGUCUGACCGAGCAACGCCGCGUGAGUGAAGAAGGUUUUCGGAUCGUAAAACUCUGUUGGUAGAGAAGAACGUUGGUGAGAGUGGAAAGCUCAUCAAGUGACGGUAACUACCCAGAAAGGGACGGCUAACUACGUG
rnacentral:rRNA from 1 species